rnacentral:rRNA from 1 species
CAGUCGCCGCGGGAAUACGAAGGGGGCUAGCGUUGUUCGGAAUUACUGGGCGUAAAGCGCACGUAGGCGGAUAUUUAAGUCAGGGGUGAAAUCCCGCAGCUCAACUGCGGAACUGCCUUUGAUACUGGGUAUCUUGAGUAUGGAAGAGGUUAGUGGAAUUGCGAGUGUAGAGGUGAAAUUCGUAGAUAUUCGGAAGAACACCAGUGGCGAAGGCGGCUCACUGGACUGGUAUUGACGCUGAGGUGCGAAAGCGUGGGGAGCAAACAGGAUUAGAUACCCCAGUAGUCCCUGUCUCUUAUAC